CCUACGGGUGGCAGCAGUCGAGCAUCAUUCACAAUGGGGGAAACCCUGAUGGUGCGACGCCGCGUGGGGGAAUGAAGGUCUUCGGAUUGUAAACCCCUGUCAUGUGGGAGCAAAUUAAAAAGAUAGUACCACAAGAGGAAGAGACGGCUAACUCUGUGCCAGCAGCCGCGGUAAUACAGAGGUCUCAAGCGUUGUUCGGAAUCACUGGGCGUAAGGCGUGCGUAGGCUGUUUCGUAAGUCGUGUGUGAAAGGCGCGGGCUCAACCCGCGGACGGCACAUGAUACUGCGAGACUAGAGUAAUGGAGGGGGAACCGGAAUUCUCGGUGUAGCAGUGAAAUGCGUAGAUAUCGAGAGGAACACUCGUGGCGAAGGCGGGUUCCUGGACAUUAACUGACGCUGAGGCACGAAGGCCAGGGGAGCGAAAGGGAUUAGAUACCCUGGUAGUC
rnacentral:rRNA from 1 species